GACGAACGCUGGCGGCGUGCUUAACACAUGCAAGUCGAACGGAAAGGCCCUGCUUUUGUGGGGUGCUCGAGUGGCGAACGGGUGAGUAACACGUGAGUAACCUGCCCUUGACUUUGGGAUAACUUCAGGAAACUGGGGCUAAUACCGGAUAGGAGCUCCUGCUGCAUGGUGGGGGUUGGAAAGUUUCGGCGGUUGGGGAUGGACUCGCGGCUUAUCAGCUUGUUGGUGGGGUAUUGGCUUACCAAGGCUUUGACGGGUAGCCGGCCUGAGAGGGUGACCGGCCACAUUGGGACUGAGAUACGGCCCAGACUACUCCGGGAGGCAGCAGUGGGGAAUAUUGCACAAUGGGCGGAAGCCUGAUGCAGCAACGCCGCGUGCGGGAUGACGGCCUUCGGGUUGUAAACCGCUUUCGCCUGUGACGAAGCGUGAGUGACGGUAAUGGGUAAAGAAGCACCGGCUAACUACGUG
rnacentral:rRNA from 1 species